UGGAACUGGAGCACAACAUGUUGAGGACUGGGGGAGGCGCGCUGCUUUCCACACUAACUUUUUAAUCUCGCUUGUGGGUUCAUAGUGCAACUGGAGAUCUUACACCCAGUCAUGGUGUGAGGUUGGUAGCCCAUAACUGGUUUAUUUUUGGUUUUUUUUGGGGGGGUGAACGUUGCAUUGCUUACCAGAUCACAGCGAAUAGUGAUCAGUGGAAGAAGGAAGGACGCACCGCGACCAGGGAGCGAGAGAACCCGGGUCCGAGAUGCUGCAGCUCGCCGCGGUGUUGUGGGUCUCCCUAACUUUGUUCAUCUGCUGUCCAGCUGAAGCCGUCCUUGCUGGCUUCACACCCCCACGUCUCCCCAUCCCCCCUGUGGCUUUAGGUAGAGACAGUCAUCAGGUUGAGUGGUGCCAGGCCUUGGUAUAAUUGGAUUUAGUGUUUGGCACGCUGCCCCUUCCCAGCCAAUUCCCCUUCUCCUUUAUGCCCGAAUGGCAUUGAUUUAUUAGCAGCGGGGCCCGGGGACAUACUGUAUGCUGCGAUGGGCGUCUGUUCGAUCCACCGGGCACCCUGCCCCGCCGCGGACGUGUGACUCCACUGGAGGCGCCUUCGCACCUACGGUUCGUUAGGCUUGGUCCCGAUAAUUCGGUAGACUCGGUCCUGAUAGUUUGUUAUGCUUGGUCCGAUAGUUUGGUAGACUCAGUACUCUGCUCUUUACUCAUUUUCAUUUCACAACAGUUCAGUAAUAACUGGCUGAGUAUGUUUAUAAUUUCCAAUUUGCGGCAGAGUGUAAAUUCAAACCAUGAUGCAAUGUUUUUUGGUUUGCUUCCUAACUUUAGGACCCAAGAGUCGGAUUGCAUUCACACUUAAAGUGAACCGAAGCAGAGAUCACUUGGAGGCUAACCGAAAGCCCCGUUUUCGUGCAGACUGUAGUUUGUUGGUUUGAUCCACACCAGAGUCUGAAUGAGCUUUCCCACCACCCCGAAUGGAUCGUACUAUCAGGAUAAAACGCUCCAGGGUUGGAUUUAAAGCGGACCAAACAGCUCUGGUGUGAAAGCACCCUUAAGCUCACCCCAGAUCGAUUGUGGGCCAAUCUUAAUCUCUAGCUGGAAAUGAAGAUUCUCCACUGACGGAUGAAGUAGGUUUUGGGCUGGAUUCCCUCUCCCCUGCCUUCCUCAGUGUUCUCAGUGAAAGACAGACAGUGGCUAGCCUAAAAAUCUACACCCCGUGCCUUUUGGUGUUUUUGCAGCCCACUAAGACUGCUGAAUGCAAACAGACAAACAAAGCACACACACACUGAGUGGAGUACAAUGUGUCUCAGAGAGACAUUUGGUUAGGCAGGGUCAUUCCGGAAAGUUCUCCGCUUUUAGCUUUCCCCCAGUGGUGAGAACGCUCGUUGAGCGUCUCGCUCUGAGCGUUGACCUUCAAGUUGACCUCGGAUAAAGUCGUCCCUCUUCUUUUCGCCCGUAGCGGUUCGCCCGUUUAGUAGUGUACUGCUGCUGAGAACAUACACACAUCAGGCUCGUUCAAAGAAUCUCUUUGUGCGGAGUGUCUUUCUUCAGUCGUGUAAUCAAAUUGUUUUGCCUUGCCAAUUAUUCGGGGAGUUCACGCAUGAUUAUAUUUAUGAUGUAUCGAGUGCCACGAAACAUCAGAGAAUCGGGGGCCCACCCCAUCCCCGGCCCCUGGGGCCCACAUGAUGCCUCCCCAAGCCCUCAGACGUCGUCUCGACAAUGUCUAACUCUCAUCGCCGCCGAGCGACGUCCAACUGGCGAACCCGUGCUCCGGAUCAGACAGACCCUCUCUGGGCGCGUCCGUCCCUCCUCAACAGAGCAGUCAUUAUUCACUCUGCUGUCGCGCGCACACGCACACGCACACGCUCACGCACACACAGAACACUUAAUUC
ensembl:lncRNA